CUCUCACUUGCUGGGGAACAGGCUCAGUCACCCAUGCCUUCUGUCUGCAUAUACGGGCCGCACACCUACGCGCCAGGCACUGUGGGAGGCCUUGGGUUAUGGCGAUGAGUGAGACAGAUAAAACCUGCCACUCUCAGGGGAGACCAGCCGUACACAAAUAAAUACACACCCCAGACAAGGCAGUGCCUCCGAUGGUGCGAGGUGUCAGGGAGAAAAAUGCAGGGUGAGGGGAGGCCUGUGGGAGUGGGGGGUGCUAUUGCAGACCCAGUGGUCCAGGAAGGAAGGUCUUCAGGAAAAGUGCCCUUUGAGCCGAGGCCCGAGUGAAGUGCAGUGAGCAAGGCAGUAGUUGUCUAGGGGAGGCUUUUUGGAAGAAGCAAAUGGCAGGUGCAAGGCCCUGGCCCCCCCUCCUGCCUGCCCCCUGCUGGCAGACUUCAUCUCUCAGGGUCCCGGGCUCCCCUCUCUCCACCAACCUGCAGGAGGGACGCGUGAAGAGUAGACCUGGAGCCAGGCCGGGUUUUAAAUCCUGGCCCUGCCACUCGUUAUCGGGGUGACUACCUCUCGGAGUGGUGCUUCUCCCCUCUGUCAAACGAGGAGCACCACGGUGUGUUCCUCAGAGGUUCGCGUGAGGCUUCCACGAGGCGAUAGGGGCGUCCGGCAAGCCCCGCGUGGUGUGCAUAUGCGCUCAGAUGAAGGGCCUGCGGGGUCCCGAGGAAGACCCUGGUUUUCUUCAGCUGAAAAUUGGGUCUCUCUCUGACUUGGAAUGAAAGGUGGAUGUACCCUUUCCCCGCCUUGGUGGUGACGGGGAGACAAGUAGCAGAAGUCGGAGCAGCUUGACAGACUCUGGGAGAUGCUUCCCAGUUGUGGUCUGGUGUUGGCCCCCGCUGGGACUCAGAGCCCUGUUUAUGUAGAGAGAAGCAGUAGCACGCAAUCCCCCCCCCCCCACGCCCCCCAUCUGCCCGCAGUGUCCAAGUCUCAGCCAGGCAUUCAGUGGGCUCAGAGAAGAAAGCUCAGCUGGUCCAGGUCAGGGCAAAGCCGUGACAUCAUAUUUCAUGUCCUGACCCCCUUCCCAUCCCUGCUGUCUCUCCCUGCCGCCCUGGCCAAACCUGCCCUUCCUUGGGAAUGGACGGAGGUCACGUCAAUCAGACCUGAGGGAGGAGUUCAGUCCCUGGAGCUAGUUCUCCCUCAUUUGACACAUGGGGAACCGGAAGCCCAGAGCGGGCAGAACUUUUCCAGCGAACACACAGCCGUCCUGGGGUUUGAUCAUUUGUGCCGGCAGACCUUUGCUCUAAGGCUGUGUCUUCACUGUACUUCGGGCCAAAUCCCACCUCUUUUACAGAAGGAAGGGACCGAGGCCAGAGGAGUAAUAUGAAUUCGCCAAGGAUUCCCAGACCAGCAAGUGGCAGUGGAGAGGAGCGUGCAUUCUAUUCAGGGGCAGAGGAGAGGUGGGACUCUCCCUGGGCCCCUCCAGGCCCCACUCCUCGCAGCUCCCUGGCUGAUGGGUCAAGCAGUGAUCAGUGUCAGGCCCACAGCGGAGACUCAGCCAUGCGUGAAGAGUGGGAAAGGAUUGCACACCUUCUGCCUGGGUGGCCUCAACCUCUUCCAAUAGCAGUUAUUGAAUACUUCCUGUCUGGCAGAAUGUCUGGUCAAAUGGACGCGGAGAGCAGCUUCCAGCAAUGGAGCUGAGGGCACCCAUGUCACGUGGGCCAUCCGCAGAGAGGAGCUGCCUGGAGGAGGAGUCACGGAGGCCUGGCAGCAGUUGUGUGCUGACGGGGCCAGGGCCACCAUCAGUGCCCACGGAGGCCAGCGCCACGGCCCCCCUUAAGGGCAAUGCCUACAUGCUCAGGAGGCCAUGUUCUGUCCCUUGUGCCCAUGCACCACCUCUUGCCCCUUGGUCUCAGCUGACUGGACUAAAGGCUGGCACCUAACUCACGGGCAGCCAAUCCAUAGGCUGGCCAGCCACCCAUGUCGUUGGCUCAAAAACUGAUCUAGCCAGAUAGGUUCGUGAACUUGACCUGCCUAUAUGGAAAGAACUUGCAGGUGGGAGCAGAGCAAAAGGAAGCAGACAGAGGAAACGUUCUGCCCCUGCCUGAGCUUGUCCUAGACCCCACAUGGUCUCUCAGCAGCUGGCGCAUGCGGGCUCCAGCGCAGGUCUCCGUGAGCACCCUCCUGGCUCCUGCUGGCGUCACCCCCUCACAGUCCCCCAGGCUGAGUAGUUUGAAAGGGCCUCUGCUCCUUGCCACUAACCCUACUGGCCCUCAGCAGUUUUAAGUUAAGGUCAUCAGACGCUUCCUACAGAAAUUCAGUUGAUUUCGAUAAUGAAAUCAAAGUCAAGCUUUUGGAAGUUCAUUCUGGUGAGGGUGACGCAUCCAACAUUGUUGUAAACAUUCUUGCAAAUUCAUAUACAGAGUUCAGCAUUGAAGACAGAAUUAUUUGUGCUUUCAAGUAUGAAUAUAAAUUUUAGUGGAACCCAGCAGCAUGGUAAACACAAUAUGUAUAUCCAAUUAGGAAAUCUAUAAAACAGAAAUGAGCCUGGACUUGGUGGUGGUGGUGCACAUAUACUUGAAAAUUGAGAUAAAACAAGCUGCGAUGGCCUGGCAAUUGAAAUAGAAACGGUGGUUGUUUGCAUACACACACUUAUACAUAAAGAGUAAUCACACGACAGUA